UGGGGAAUUUUGGACAAUGGGCGCAAGCCUGAUCCAGCCAUGCCGCGUGCGGGAAGAAGGCCUUCGGGUUGUAAACCGCUUUUGUCAGGGAAGAAACGCUCUGGGCUAAUACCCCGGGGUAAUGACGGUACCUGAAGAAUAAGCACCGGCUAACUACGUGCCAGCAGCCGCGGUAAUACGUAGGGUGCAAGCGUUAAUCGGAAUUACUGGGCGUAAAGGGCUCGUAGGUGGCCAACUAAGUCAGACGUGAAAUCCCUCGGCUUAACCGGGGAACUGCGUCUGAUACUGGAUGGCUGGAGUCCGGGAGAGGGAUGCGGAAUUCCAGGUGUAGCGGUGAAAUGCGUAGAUAUCUGGAGGAACACCGGUGGCGAAGGCGGCAUCCUGGGCCAGCACUGACACUCAUGCACGAAAGCGUGGGGAGCAAACAGGAUUAGAUACCCCCGUAGUCCCUGAGCGGGCUGGCAAGGCGCAU
rnacentral:rRNA from 1 species